UGAAAGGGAAUCAGAAAAUCUACUGCGAUAGGCUUUACAUGUCGUCUGCCAUUUUUAGAAAAGCCAUCUUUUUUGGACUUGACUGGAAAAAACAGUUGCUGGUUUGACAAGGAAAAGGAUCCUUUAUGAAGUGAUCUAAACCUUUUGCCCAACUGCAAGGAAAAAUAACACAAGAAUCGGCAUGAUGGAAGUUUAGAGGGAUGAACCUCAGAGAGAAGGAUGCUGGGUACAGAUGAUAAAACGAUGGAGUUCAGAGACACUGAUGAAUGGCGCAGUUGCUGCUAUCAGAUAUGUUGCCUAAAAAUAACGAGCAAACAAAUCGACAUGUCGGGGCGAGGGAGAGACAGAGGGAAAAAAUGAGAGAAGAGGAGAGACGGGUCAAGCAGGAGACAGCUUGGCCGAUGCAAUUACCAGCUGCCACCGGAGACCCUGGGGAACCGCAGGUCCUUCUGAAGGGUGUAGUCAAGAUCCGCCCUCACAUCCACUCCAUCCAAGAAGUCCACUCUAGAUCACUGAUGUUCUUGACUGGAGGUUGCUAAACAGCUGAAACCAUUUCAAACUUCAGCUCCUGUUUUCACUUCACAUGAAUGAUUCACCUGUCAGAAAGAGAAAGACAGAGAUUUCUGUCACGACCUUUCCGCUCAAAUCGUUUCAUGCCGGUCAGACUCAUCAAACAUGGCCAAGAUGACGGACUCUACAGAACCCUUGAAGAUCAGACACCAAGACAGGCUUGUCAGUCAGCAGGAAACGCACCUCAUCUAACCCUAGAUACACCUUCCCACAGGAGGGAGGCAGUGAGAGGGACCCCAGGGUGCAGCUGGAGAUUUAUCUCUCCGUUCAUAAAUCCACCGACUGCUUGAUCUCUGACCUCUGGUAUCUGCAGAUGCUGCACCUGUAAGGCAGCAGCACUCGGUUCCGACUGACUGCAUUUGUUAUCUAACAACUUUUGCCUCGCAGGUUAGUGCUGCACUCACCUCACAGCUGUCAGAAACAACCUGACAUCUUUAGGAGAGCUGGGUGGAAGGGAGAAAUGGGGUGAAUCUCAAGGUCAUGUUCGCUUUUCACCCCAAUAAUCUAGAAAAAAAAGUUUAGUUAAGUUCAACGGUUUACUUACAAAAUGUUUAUAAUAUGUACUUCAGCUUAAUUGAAAAUGCUUAUUGUAGUUAUUAUAGUUUCUCAUAUAAAAUAUUAUGUGUUAGCAUUUGUUUAAAACUCAUUCUCAUUACCUUAAUGGGGAAAUAUUUAAAAUGUAUAGACUAAUUUAUGCUGAAUUAAAUUACAAAAUCAUUGUAUUACUGUAUUAUCAUCUUAUUUUAAAAUGUAUAUGUGUGAAUGUGUG
ensembl:lncRNA